UUGAACGCUGGCGGCAGGCCUAACACAUGCAAGUCGAGCGGAUGAAGGGAGCUUGCUCCUGGAUUCAGCGGCGGACGGGUGAGUAAUGCCCAGGAAUCUGCCUGGUAGUGGGGGAUAACGUCCGGAAACGGGCGCUAAUACCGCAUACGUCCUGAGGGAGAAAGUGGGGGAUCUUCGGACCUCACGCUAUCAGAUGAGCCUAGGUCGGAUUAGCUAGUUGGUGGGGUAAAGGCCUAUCAAGGCGACGAUCCGUAACUGGUCUGAGAGGAUGAUCAGUCACACUGGAACUGAGACACGGUCCAGACUCCUACGGGAGGCAGCAGUGGGGAAUAUUGGACAAUGGGCGAAAGCCUGAUCCAGCCAUGCCGCGUGUGUGAAGAAGGUCUUCGGAUUGUAAAGCACUUUAAGUUGGGAGGAAGGGCAGUAAGUUAAUACCUUGCUGUUUUGACGUUACCAACAGAAUAAGCACCGGCUAGCUUCGUG
rnacentral:rRNA from 1 species